rnacentral:lncRNA from 1 species
GUUCAAGCCAUGAUAUGUUGUUUCAGAGAGGUUGAAGUAGUCUGGGUCAGCAAACACGUCUCUUCUGCAUCAUAGAGAUUCAGGACACAUUCUGGUGAGUCAUCAGUGGAAGUUUAUUUUUUUUUUAUUAUUCUGAAAUAUUAUUCUGACGUGCUUUUGCCAUAAUUUGUUUCGAUGAUAUGUUGUGGCGCAGUUCAAGCAUUGUGAGGUUCAA